rnacentral:rRNA from 1 species
GGGUUGUGAGGUUAAGCGACUAAGCGUACACGGUGGAUGCCCUGGCAGUCAGAGGCGAUGAAGGGCGUGCUAAUCUGCGAUAAGCGCCGGUAAGGUGAUAUGAACCGUUAUAACCGGCGAUACCCGAAUGGGGAAACCCAGUGUGACUUGUCACACUAUCAUUAACUGAAUCCAUAGGUUAAUGAGGCGAACCGGGGGAACUGAAACAUCUAAGUACCCCGAGGAAAAGAAAUCAACCGAGAUUCCCCCAGUAGCGGCGAGCGAACGGGGAGGAGCCCAGAGCCUGAAUCAGCAUGUGUGUUAGUGGAAGCGUCUGGAAAGGCGCGCGAUACAGGGUGACAGCCCCGUACACAAAAGCGCAUGUGCUGUGAGCUCGAUGAGUAGGGCGGGACACGUGGUAUCCUGUCUGAAUAUGGGGGGACCAUCCUCCAAGGCUAAAUACUCCUGACUGACCGAUAGUGAACCAGUACCGUGAGGGAAAGGCGAAAAGAACCCCGGCGAGGGGAGUGAAAAAGAACCUGAAACCGUGUACGUACAAGCAGUGGGAGCCCCACCACCAAAGCAUUCUCUGGUGUUGAAGGCCCUGCAAAGCAGCAUCGCGGUGGCGGAGCGUCGUUUGCGACGCCCGACACACAAAACAAGCGGUGAGUGCUUUGGGGUGGGGUGACUGCGUACCUUUUGUAUAAUGGGUCAGCGACUUAUAUUCUGUAGCAAGGUUAACCGUAUAGGGGAGCCGGAGGGAAACCGAGUCUUAAUUGGGCGUUAAGUUGCAGGGUAUAGACCCGAAACCCGGUGAUCUAGCCAUGGGCAGGUUGAAGGUUGGGUAACACUAACUGGAGGACCGAACCGACUAAUGUUGAAAAAUUAGCGGAUGACCUGUGGCUGGGGGUGAAAGGCCAAUCAAACCGGGAGAUAGCUGGUUCUCCCCGAAAGCUAUUUAGGUAGCGCCUCGUGAAUUCAUCUCCGGGGGUAGAGCACUGUUUCGGCUAGGGGGUCAUCCCGACUUACCAACCCGAUGCAAACUGCGAAUACCGGAGAAUGUUAUCACGGGAGACACACGGCGGGUGCUAACGUCCGUCGUGAAGAGGGAAACAACCCAGACCGCCAGCUAAGGUCCCAAAGUCAUGGUUAAGUGGGAAACGAUGUGGGAAGGCCCAGACAGCCAGGAUGUUGGCUUAGAAGCAGCCAUCAUUUAAAGAAAGCGUAAUAGCUCACUGGUCGAGUCGGCCUGCGCGGAAGAUGUAACGGGGCUAAACCAUGCACCGAAGCUGCGGCAGCGACACUGUGUGUUGUUGGGUAGGGGAGCGUUCUGUAAGCCUGUGAAGGUGGCCUGUGAGGGUUGCUGGAGGUAUCAGAAGUGCGAAUGCUGACAUAAGUAACGAUAAAGCGGGUGAAAAGCCCGCUCGCCGGAAGACCAAGGGUUCCUGUCCAACGUUAAUCGGGGCAGGGUGAGUCGACCCCUAAGGCGAGGCCGAAAGGCGUAGUCGAUGGGAAACGGGUUAAUAUUCCCGUACUUGGUGUUACUGCGAAGGGGGGACGGAGAAGGCUAUGUUGGCCGGGCGACGGUUGUCCCGGUUUAAGCGUGUAGGUGUGUGUUCCAGGUAAAUCCGGUUCACUUUAACACUGAGGCGUGACGACGAGGCACUACGGUGCUGAAGCAACAAAUGCCCUGCUUCCAGGAAAAGCCUCUAAGCAUCAGGUAACAUCAAAUCGUACCCCAAACCGACACAGGUGGUCAGGUAGAGAAUACCAAGGCGCUUGAGAGAACUCGGGUGAAGGAACUAGGCAAAAUGGUGCCGUAACUUCGGGAGAAGGCACGCUGACACGUAGGUGAAGUGAUUUACUCA